rnacentral:lncRNA from 1 species
AACUAAUCUCAAUCAAAAGCUCAAAAGGGUAUGGAAAAAAAUAAGAAAAGGUUUGUUUUUUAUAUAUUUGGGGAAUAAAAGUUGGAUUUAGAGACAAGGAUUUUGUGAAAUCGAGAUGAGUUAUGUCGAGAUUUGUGAAAAAUAAUAGCUGGAAAAACUAAAAGAUAAAUCUGAAAUGAAAAAUUCAGAUAUAAAAAUCAAAUCUUUUCUGGAUUUGAAGAUCAAUCACAAUAUAUAAAACAGAGCCUAGAACAGAGGACGAUAGAACAGAGGACAAAAACAGAGGAUGGAGCAAAACAGAGCAUAGAACAGAGACCAAAACAGAGGAUUCUGAUGAGAUUCUAAGAACAAAGGAUUUAACAAAGAGAAGACAAAGACAUGGUCAUCAUGAACAUCGUCUGGUUUUAACAAAGUCUCUCUCUCUCUUUUUAAAAAGGUUGAAGAAGAAG